rnacentral:rRNA from 1 species
UGUUACUUUUACAAAUUUCUUUGGAGUAUUAAUAUUUAUGAAAUUUAACGGAUUUGGCGGCAAGAUAGCCCAUUUAGAGGAACCUGCCCUGUAAACGAUGAGCCACGAACACUUUACUCUUUUUAGUAAUCAGUUUGUAUACCGCUGUUGUCAGUUAGUUUUAGUAGAAAACUUUCGCUAAUGGAAUAAAUCCCAUUGAAUUCAAGUAAAGGUGCAGCUAAUAAAAGAGAUAGAGGUGGGUUACAAUUUUUUGAGAAAAACGGAUUGUAGAUUGAAAAAUUUACUUGAAGGUGGAUUUAAUUGUAAAGCUUAUAAAGGCUUGAUAAGAGCACUAACUUGUGUACACAC